GACGAACGCUGGCGGCGUGCUUAACACAUGCAAGUCGAACGGAAAGGCCCUGCUUUUGUGGGGUGCUCGAGUGGCGAACGGGUGAGUAACACGUGAGUAACCUGCCCUUGACUUUGGGAUAACUUCAGGAAACUGGGGCUAAUACCGGAUAGGAGCUCCUGCUGCAUGGUGGGGGUUGGAAAGUUUCGGCGGUUGGGGAUGGACUCGCGGCUUAUCAGCUUGUUUGUGGGGUAGUGGCUUACCAAGGCUUUGACGGGUAGCCGGCCUGAGAGGGUGACCGGCCACAUUGGGACUGAGAUACGGCCCAGACUCCUACGGGAGGCAGCAGUGGGGAAUAUUGCACAAUGGGCGGAAGCCUGAUGCAGCAACGCCGCGUGCGGGAUGACGGCCUUCGGAUUGUAAACCGCUUUCGCCUGUGACGAAGCGUGAGUGACGGUAAUGGGUAAAGAAGCACCGGCUAACUACGUG
rnacentral:rRNA from 1 species